UAAAAGACGUUUCGGUCGCUGACUAGUUGCACGGAGUAUAAAUAAUCUAAUUUAUUAUAGUCGAUAGUCAAGUAUUUAUGAAAAACUUUUAAAAUUUUUAUUAGAAAGCCAUCAUCGGCGGUAGACCACCGAGUUGAAACUUAUCGUUGACUGUUCGAACGCGGAUCUAUUAUCGCGCCACAACCAGAUUAGAUAAUCUCCCUUGACCGUGCAACAUGUGGCGGAUCUUCUCGAGCCGGUUUUACCCCCUGCUCCUCCUAAGUUCGCGCCAUACCGUCUGCUGUGAGUGCUGACUUAUAAGCUGUGGCCUGUGCUGCCAGCCUUUUAAAACGCGUUUGUUCGUAUGUUAAUUCGUUGUACUGUUUUUGCCGACUUACUUGUACGCGUUAUUAUUAUUCGCAAGCCGCGGUGUGCCUUGGACAAUGCGUGCCGCCCAAAACUGCGUGUCCGGACGACGCGUUGUGUCGUCGUGCCGCUCCACCGCGUACCCGCACACUUUUAAGUCGUUCGUUCUGCAUAAGUGCAGAGGUUAGACAACGCAGUAGGAUACCUACGGGCUCUAUCAACAUUCAACAUACAUAUUAAUAUAUCUAUACGUGUAUAUACAACGUUGUGGCAGCGAGUCCACACCGUUCCACGUUAUUCGCCGUCGUCGCCGCCGAUACUUAACUGUAAGCAUCUUGGUCCUGUGUGCCAUCAUUCGAAACUGUCAGAAAAAAUAAAUGUUUUCCUAACGGCUAACACGACGGAAUAUGAAAUCAAAUAGUAUUUUUUCCGAAUAGUAAGCAGUGUGGAAUUCACAAGCUCCCUUCCAUGAAAGAUGUGUCAAAAUCAUAAAACCAAAAAUAAAUUAGGUAUAAUGUAUAUGUAAUAUAAUAAAUAAAACAAAUUAA